rnacentral:lncRNA from 1 species
CAGACUCCCGCUGAGCAAGGAACACGAUGCUGGGUCCAUCACAGGACCCUGGGGAUCAUGACCUGAACAGAAGACAGAUGUUUAACUGACUGAACCACCAGGCGUCCCAAGGGUUUCUUGUUAAGAUAAAGUUUGUGGUCCAAGAAGGACACAUAUUCUCAGAUUCAGAAGAAUAACACACCUUUACCAAAAAGCCAUUACAACAGAGACCUUCCUCUCAACAUAAAACCUUCUGGGAGGUAUCAAGCCGAAGGAUGUCAGCAUUUGUUGUUUCUGAA